rnacentral:lncRNA from 1 species
GAAGAACGAGACUGAAAAAAAACGCUAGCAAGAAGCCGAAGGAGAAGAGCUGAAGAAGAAGCUGACAUAGCUGCAAUAGACGGACCUCCUUCCCCUUCACGCCUUCAUCUUCCAUCUUCAAAACCAACCCUAACUAUUUUUCCUUCUUCAACCUUGAACCUAAGACAAUAAUGGCGUAAAGACCCUAGCACCCAAAAGAACUCCAUGUGAGUCGUCCUUCCUCACCCAAACGACUCCUCGAUUCUUCUUCUCCUCACCAGCGGCAAGCUCGCUGUUACACCCCAAACAACGACCCAACCAUCCUUUUCAUCUUCCUUGCAGCAACUCUCCUUCAAAAACCUCCAUUAACGCCAGCUGCAAAUCAGCGACAGGACAACCAUGAACACCAUGGCCAUCGUUGCUCCUUCUUUUUCCCGUUAGACAAAGCUCGCCAAAACCCUUGAACACCAGUUGUUGAUCUCUUCAUCUUCCUCCUCCAUCAGCUCGCCGGAAAACGAACUGAAACCACCACCAAAACCUCGCCUAGACAUUACUGCUUCGUCUUUCUUUCGCCCAUUAAACAUUAGAACUUGGCUCGAUUCAAAAAUCAGUCCAGCGACCUAUCCUAAUGGGAAAUUAUCUGCGCUUGGGGCUGUGUCGAGAUCUGUCAAGUUGAAGCUUGUUGCUUGGAGCUUCGAUAAGAAGUUCUCGUUCGAGGUUUUCCGACAAGGUCGAUGUUGAGGGUUGGUACUUGGUCCUAUCCGUUUCUGUUUGUUCCGAUUAUUAAAAAUCAAGUUUAGAUGAGGGAAAGUUACGUUGAAGUUCAAAGAUGCAAUACAGAAUUGUAUGGUAAUUUUCUGUUCAUGCCUUUUGAUUCAUUUUUAUUUUAUAUUAUUUUUGUUCAUUUGGUACCCUUUGAUUAAGUUCUAUUAGUGUUCUAUAAUUUGUUUGGCGUUAAUUUAUUCAUUUGGUGCUAGCUAAUGGAGGAGACUAUGAGCAUUCAUUUGCUUAGUUUCAUUUGGACAAGAUUAGUGUUAGUAUUUGUCGUUAUUAUUCCAGAAUAUUCAUUUGCUUAGUUUCUUUUAUUAAAUUUUUGGCAAAUUAUGAGGAUUUAGUUGUAAAAGGCUGUAAGGUUUGGUAUUAUUAAAGGUAUUGAAAAAUGGCUCCUUUAAUUAUAUUGGGGUUUGCCAUGCCGACAAGAGCUAUAAUCUAUGGCCUUCGCUUAAUUAAUUUUAAUCCUUUAGAAAUCGAGGUGUCAUUUAGUUGAAAUUUCAUGGCCCUCGCAAAGUGCAAACGCGUAGUUGUUUUAAACGCGCUCUUAAUAGAAUUACCUUCUUAAACUCGGGUGCGCAUUGAUGCGACCCAAAUCCAAAUCUCGAUGAAGUCGAAAUGUGUUGACAAUCACGGGCGCAUUGAUUGCGACGGGGUUCGAAAUGCGUUUUCACGACAUCGUAAUUCUUAUAAAAUAAAUAAUGAUAGAAAAGAGGUUCAUAAAUUGAGACGAGCCUCACCGCACAAAAAUAAAUAAAUGUGGGGCCCUCAAUAAAUAAUUAUUGAAAUAAUUAAAAUUUGGGAUGGCCGUUUAGCGACCUUCAUGGCUUUUCCCCAAAAUAAUACUACGUUAGCAUCUCUAGGCACGAUUUAAUUAAAUUACUUUCUUAAACUCGGGUGCGCAUUGAUGCGACCCAAAUCCAAAUCUCGAUGAAGGCUAAUGUGUCAACAACCACGGGUGUAUCGAUUGCGACGUAGUUCGAAACGCAUUUUCACGACGUCGUAAUUUUUUUAAAAUAAAUAAUUAUAAAAAGCGGUUUACGAAUAAACAGCACAUAAGCUAGCAUGUAUUAAAAUCAGAUAAAAUCAAAUACAACAGUUAAGCGACCGUGCUAGAACCACGGAGCCCGAGAAUGCCUAACACCUUCUCCCUGGUUAACAGAAUUCCUUACUCGGAUUUCUGGUUCGCAGACUGUAACAGAGUCAUAAAUUUCCUCGGUUCAGGAUUCAAUCGGUGACUUGGGACACCAUUAAUCUCUCAAGUGGCGACUCUGAAUAAUUAAUAAUUAAAUCCCGUUCCGAUUGUCCUUUAAUUGGAAAAACUCCUUUGCGCUCUCGCGAGGGUACAUGUAGAAAAAGGAGGUGUGACAACAACAAUGAGUAAUCCGGGGUUUCAUACCCUCAGGACAACAUUUAAAAUCAUUACUCACCUCAAUCCGGUCCAAAUUCUAGCCCGUGAUGCCUUUGCCCCUCGAAUCAGCCUCAACUCACGUCGAAUCUAUCCAAAAUCAGAAUCACGACGUUAGAAUAUGCUAAGGGAAUGAAGCCCAUGCAAAAAUAAUCAAUUUACAAUAUAAAUCCAGAAAUUAACAAAAACCCGACCCCCGGGCCCACAUCUCGGAAUUCGAUAAAAUUUACAUCAAUAGAUUCCUUAUCUCCCCACGAGUUUGUACAUAUCAAAAGUCCCAAAAUCCGACCACAAAUAACCCCUCAAAUCCUCAAGUCAAGGUCUCUAAUACCAAGCCCUAGUUUCCCAAUUUUUAACCCUUAAUUUCCAUUAAUAUUAGGCCAAAUCAGUGAAAUAAUGCCAUAGGAUCGAUUAUUAGACUCAAAGAGCUUACCUCCAGACGAUAUCCCUUGAUUCCCUCUUCAAAUUCUCCCAAAAAUCUCCAAAACUGACUUGAAAUGGUGAAGAACAACUCAAAAAUCGUGAAGGAAUGCUUUUAUACCUUCUGGUCUAGGCUUUUCGCACCUGCGGACAAGAUACCGCUUCUGCGGUCCAAGACGCCGCAUUUGCGGUCCUCACUUAAAUCCUCGAUUCCGCAUCUGCGAUGCACACUCUGCACCUGCGCCAUCGCAGGUGCGGUUCCUCAACCGCUUCUGCAGUUCCUGCCUCCAUAGGCUCCUUCCGCUUCUACGACUCCAAUCUCGCUUUUGCGAGACCGCACCUGCGGUUCCCUAGCUGCGGUCCCCUAGCUGCAGGUGUGGUUAUGACAGCAAUGGCACAUCUUCAGCUGCCAAAACCAAACCAAAUUCUUCUGCCAACCAUCCGAAAUCACCCCGAGGCCCCUGAGACCUCAGCCAAAAGCACAAACACAUCAUAUACCACUAUUCUAACCUAUACCAAUCUUCAAAACACCACAAACAACAUCGAAUCAACCAAAACACAUCAAAUUCAAGCCUAAGGUUCCAAAAAUCUUACGAAUUACGCUUUUGAUCAAAACUUCUACCAAACCACGUCCGAAUGACCUGAAAUUUUGCACACACAUCGCAAAUGACACAACGGACCUACUGCAACUCUCGGAAUUCCAUUCCGACCCCUAUAUCAAAAUCUCACCUAUAAACCGGAAAACGUCAAAAUACCAUUUUUGCCAAUUCAAGCCUAAAUCCACUCCGAACCUCUAAAACGCAUUCCGAUCACGCUCCUAAGUCUCAAAUCACCUUCUGAAGCUAUCCGAACCAUCAGAACUCACAUUCGAACCCUCUAACACAUAAGUCAACGUCCAGUUGAUUUUUCCAACUUAAGCUUCAUCAAAAGAGAUUAAGUGUCUCAAAUCUUACCAAAACCUUUCCGAACCUGAGCCAACUAACCCGAUCGCACAUAGAACCUAUAAACAAAGCAAUAAGAAGUAGAAAUGGGGAAACAGAGCAGUAACUCAUGAAACGACCGGCCGGGUCGUUACACUUAACAUACUUGAGUCGAGUCUCUUGAGAAAGAUUACACCGUACUCCCUUAAUAUUGCAAAAUCUCACGUUAAUUUGAAUUGUUGAAGGUCUUGGGCAUUGCUUAUAUGAUAUAUAAUAUGCAGAUGUAUAUUGGAGAAAUGAUUUAACGUUAGUGUUUUUGGAAGGAGAGCUUGCUGAACUUUUUCUUAAGAUAUGUAGGGAAUGAUAUUUGGAUUUUAAUAGUAAUGAAAGCUUGCUGAACUCUGUCCUUAAGAGAUGUAGGAAAUGAUCUUUGAUUUUGAAAUGUUAUUCUUAACCUUAAGUGGGCCAUAUUGCAAGCUUAGUGUCACUUUAAGGUGUGACACCUUUCAAGCCAAUAUUAUGAGUCAUUUAUUUUGAAUACGGAGCUGCCACAUCAUACUAUUUAAUGUUUAUCCAAUAUAUAUCCCCAAUUAAUUAGGUAAUGUCCCGUUACCUGGUAAUUAACUAAUUACCUACAUAAUUAAGAAUUAUCCCAGCUUACUUAAAAUACUACUCGCUUUUAACAUACCUUGUACACCUUAUUAUCAUGGUCAUGUAAUACAUUGUAUGGCAACAGUCCAUAAAUAUCGAGUAUUAACGCUCGACCCGUAUUUUAUCCCAACAUACCAAACUUGUACGAAAAUUCAUUUUCUUUGACUUGCUUUCCUCUCAUCUUUACGAAUUUACUCAUCACUUGUGAAAUAGCAUAAUUCUUAUAAUCUUCGAAUAAGCUUUUUAUUAGACUGAUGUCAAUUACCUUACGAUAAAUUAAACAUACAAUACUACAGGGUGCAACAUCGCCGCAAUUUAAUACUGCGAAGCGUAACACAACUGUAAUGUAAUACUGCAAGGCAUAACAUCAUCGUAAUAUAAUACUGCGGGAUGUAAUAUCGACAUAAUAUUGCAGGGCAUAACAUCAUUCCUCCCUUUUUAAUAUUCGUCCUCGAAAGUUGACUGAUGCUCUUAUCAUUUUCAUAAUUUAUAGCUCUUGUGAAUACCUUAAUGCUCUCCUUGCCAUUUAGGCAAUUGUUCUAUGAAUAAAUCCAAAGGCCAGGGCAUUCCCCCCUUUAGGCCUCUUUCUCACGCCACGACUUGUGGCCAAAAUCCUUCCAAUCUCGUAAUUGUUGCUACCUUCUUUCAUGCAACCUGUACGACUCUAACCUUGUAAGUACGCCUAUGCGAUCUUGUCUCCUUUUUCCUUUAGCUUUUAGCCAAUCUUUAGGCCUCACUUUGUGAACAUAUACAGAGCUUGGUGAGAUGUCCCUCUAGGCAUCUAUAAGUAUACUGAAGUUCUUCACUUGGUACUUUGUCGAACUUACGAAUAUUGUUAUACCUUAUUUCAUAGAUCUGCUUAUCCAUUCAUAUGACUUUACUGCAUCUAGGUAGGUCAUACUAUACCAUAACUCUUACUUCAAUUUAUCAUUACUGAGUUCUGCAACCAACUCCAGGUUACUCUCGUUGCUUAUCCUUAAGACUGAUGGUCUAAUCUCAUCUCAUACUGCUGAACUUUUAUCCAUCUAUUAUUGAUUCACCUUAAUGUUGAUCCAUCAUCUACCACUGAUAACUUGAUCUCUUAUGUAACACCAUUGCUAGGGCUCGUGUCUCAUCGGGGACAUCCAUAAUAAUUAGAUUUAUCCACCUAGGGGUGAUACUAUACUUCCAUAACCGUACUUUAUAGCAUCCCAAUGUAACUCACCUUAUAUGGGUAUUUUAGCCCCUUACAAUUCAUGAAAUAUUCUUCAAGUCAUUACUCAAUCGAAGGCCCAAAUGUCAUCCUUUAUCUAUUACAAUUACGCCCGUAUUCCAUUACCAGGGUAGUAUUCUAUUUCUUCUAAAUGCUAUUACUCUUAGACUCCUUUGAGUUUAUUCAGGCUAUACUGAACUUUCUAUAACUUAGAUAAACCAUUAGCUCUCUUGUUUUCAUGGACUUAAUCCCGAGGACUUAUCCAUUCUCGUCACCUUCUCACUUGCCUUUCCUUAUCCUUACUCCUGUCUUCCAAAAACCUUGUCACUCUACCAUACUUUAGCUUGCGACCUACACAUAUUUAUUUAUACUUGGUCGCAACCUUCCUUCAACUUGAUUGCACCAUAGAUUUCCUUAUGUUAUUCUGGAACAUCAAGCGAGACAUCACAUCAUCUCUAACUCUUCUUUACUCUCUUGACUAGAUCUCUUGGUACUUAAUAAUCAUAGACUGGAAAGUACUCCAUUUACGACGUUGCUAUCAUUCUGGAUAUUGAAUCCUAGUGCUUCUAGCCUUCUAUCCGAAGCAUGGACUAUUCACGAUUUUCUGCCUUUGAGUAUCUUGUACAUUGUUCACUUUUACCUUACUUAACUUAAAAUAUUGCAUCGUAUCUUUUAUCUCUUUCAUGACCUCCCUUCCACAUAGGUAUAAUUCAUGUCCAUAACUUGAAGCUCUAUUAUAAUACAUGCACCUCUGGUGCAUACACAAUUCGGUGGGAGCUUCGUACUAACUUUUUAUGAGGCUGGUACUACCGGCUUUACCGUAGGGCCAUUAUAAAAUAUAGUUGUUGUACAAUUCCUUUUGCACCUCUGAUAUUAAGAGUGAUCCUGUAAUAUUUUGAAUCAUGAUUUCCAUAAUUUUCUAGAUCCAAUAAUCAAAUUCCUAAUUUACUUCAUUGAUGUAACUCUUUAGUUUCCUUCUUCUUCUGAUCAGCCUUUAUGUAGGCUUAAGCUACCUCCCGAUUUGCGGUUCAUGGUAUUAGUUAUUACGUUUAGCCUUUUUAUGGAUGCUGAGGAAUAUCCAUGAUACAAUCCUUUAAUAAUUCAAUCCUUUGUCUAUGACCUGAGCUCAUUUCUUUCUUUUAACUUAUACCGGAAUCUUCUACGGUUGUAUAUGCUGCAUGUAUAAAACUCCAAACUCUUAAGUGCGUUCAUAACGUUACUAACUUUGGAUCAUGAAUUGAAUAAUUCUUUUUGUUCCAUCUCGGCUUUCUUCAAACGUAAGCAAUUACUUUUCCUGGUUUUUCUGCCCUCUUUUUGUGUGCAUACUUAGCUUCCCGGGAAAGCUUUUCUGUCGAGGUAACCCAACUCAAUGAAGUACUUAAGCACCGAGCGGCUUCCCUCAUUGUUGAGAAAACUUACGCUAUGUACAUCAUGAGGAGAAAAACCUUGGAAGAGGCCAAAGUUGGUAUCAUUGAUUUUGAUGCCGAAAUUUCUAAGGCCCAUGAGCUUGAGUUAGCUGCUAAAAGUGGACUUCCAGCGAGAUCUGAUGCUCCUGGUCCUUCUGGUUCCUGUUUCGAGUUUUCGAAAACUGAAGAAGAAUCGGAGGAUGAUGAUGCCGAAGGCCAAACUGGCGAAAAUGUUGAGCCAUCGGAGGAUCCAUCUACUUCUCUCGGGGGUGUGGACACUUCUCUUCCUCCUAGUUCCGGAGAUACUACAGUUUAGCUUUUCUUUUCUUUUUCUAAUUCAUGUACCUGUGUCGUUUUGGAAUGUUUUUGUAAAUAAAGACAUCUUUUUCUCUAGUAUUGUUUGAGUCUUCCUUUCGUUUGAAUACCCAUGCAGGUCUUUAAUCUUUGCAUUUUCUUCCUUUUGCUUAAGAAUUUUGCGAAAGAUUUUCUGUUUGCGUCUUAUUAUGUGAAGCCAUAGAUGUAUUCUCCCCAAAAGCAUUUUGGUUCUGGGCAUCAACCCUUUUACGUGAGGGCUUCUAUAAAUAUUUGCACAAGUUUACUUUUUGCGUCCUUUCGUAUACGGCUUCGGGUGUAUUUUCCCUGAAGGCAUUUUGAUUUCGAGCAUAAAUUCUUUCGAAACCAACCCUUUGACGUGAGAGUUUUUAUAAAAGAGGGCCCUCUUAUGUUUACGAUUCUCUUGAAGAGGACGUCUCAUGUUCAUUACGGCACUAGAAUUUGAGGUACUUGUUUAACUUUCAAAUAAUAAAGUUAAUUCAUCGUUCAGACAAGAAACAAGAUAAAAACAAAAGGAUUUCAUUUCAUUUUAUUCCUUCUAUUUCAAAAGUACAUAAGCAUUUGCUAUGCUGAAAAGAAAUUGCCAUUACUUGUGGCUAACGUGUACAACUUGUUUCUACGGGGUUGGUCGCGGAGUCCCCGAUCCCGAUGAUGUAAUUAUGUUUUCGGUUUUUCAUUUCUCGAUCGAUGUGGUAGUCAUUGUUUCCGUAUCCACAUAUCAUUCCCCCCUAGUGUUCGAAUGCGAAGUGUGUGAAUUGGUACACUGAAAGUCUUGAAUCUUCGAAGAUUCCACUAAUGAAUUGCUAGAUAAUCCUUAACUUGGUAACACACUUUCUUCCCCUCAGGAAUUUAUGCUAUUGAGCGAAGGACUAUCUAACAACUCUCUAGUGGUUUGUUCUCGUGAACGGUCGGGUAACCUUUGCUCAAUAGCAAACUUAACUUCCUAGUGAGAAUUUCCUAUAGAGCAAAAGAUUAUCUAACCAUCCCCGAGUGGAUCUUUGCUUGUGUGCCUUGCUAUUAAAGGUCCUAUUAUUGAUGUCUUCGUAGUAUGCUUUUUGUUGCUGCCUCGUUAAAAACUUUACUAGAAAAACCCAAUUGGGACAAAAAUUGAAUGAAGGAAAAAAGAGUGCAGCACAUACUUUCUGAUCUGAUAAUGCUUAUCAACAAUAAUAUAUUUUGAGGUGAAACACGUUCCAAUUGUUGGGCAACAUUUCUCCAUUCUGGUUCUCCAACUCAUAUGUACCUUUCCCAGUGAUAGCUGAAACCCGGUAGGGGCCUUCCCACGUUGGACCUAGCUUCCCCACGUUGAGCUCCCGGGUAUUUUGAGUUACUUUCCUUAGGACCAAGUUUCCUGCUUUGAAAUAAUGGAGGUUGGAUCUUCGAUUAUAAUACCGCUCUAUUCUCUGCUUUUGAGCUGCCAUUCUUAUACACGCCAAGUCCCUGCGUUCAUCGAACAGCUCCAAGUUGAAUAAUAUUGCUUCGUUGUUCGAUUCUUCAUCUGCCUGGAAAUAUCUCAAGGUAGGUUCACCUACUUCCACCAUUAAAGCUUAUGCACCGUACAUAAGGGAAAAAGGAGUUUCUCCUGUGCUCGACUUGGUCAUUGUUCAAUAUGCCCAUAGAACACCGGGUAAUUCUUUGGGCCAAUUACCUUUAGCCACUUCCAACCUUUUCUUGAGGUUUUGAAUAAUCACUUUAUUCGUUGACUCUGCUUGACCAUUUGCGCUCGAAUGAUAGGAUGAAGAUGUGAUCCUCUUUAUUUUCAAAUCUUUGAGGAACUUUGUAACUUUUACACCGAUAAAUUGUGGCCCAUUUUCACAUGCUAUCAUUUUUGGUAUUUGAAACCUGAAAAUUAUAUUUUCCCACAAGAUAUCGACCACUUCACGUUCUCCGAUCUUCUGAUCAGGACUUGCUUCCACCCACUUAGAAAAAUAUUCAGUCAAAAUUAAGAGAAAUCUUACUUUUUCGGGAGUCGGUGGUAGUGGUCCGACGAUGUCCAUCCCAUAUUUUAUGAAUGGCCACGGGGACAGAAUCGAAUGCAAGGGUUCUGCCGGUUGAUACACCAGUGGUGCAUAGUGUUGGCACUAAUCAUAUUUUUGUACGAAGUCUUUGGCGUCUUGUUCCAUGUGGGGCCAAUAAUAUCCUGCCCUUACUAGCUUCAGCACUAAGGAAUCUGCGCCUGAGUGGUUGCCGCAUAUCCCUUCGUGGACCUCUAUCAUGACAUAGUUAGCUUCAGAUGUCCCUAAGCAUCGGGCCAACGACCCUUGGAAAUAUUUUCUAUAAAAUUGACCUCUCUUGAAGUUAUAUCGCACAACACCCGGGAUACUUUGGGGUCUUCUGGUAAUUUCCCGUGCUCGAGAUAAUCAAUGAUUUCAUUUCUCCAGUCCCAACCCAAAUUAGUCAAAUUUACCUCAUAGUAACCAUCUGCAUCUAUGACUAGUUCAUCAGUUGUACUAUAGUCCCGGAUUUCGAUCCUUUUAUUUCCGUCGAUGAUCAUAUGUUUUCUAAUGCAUUUGCUUAUGCGUUAUCUUCCCUUGGAUAUGAGUAAUUGACCAUUCCUGGAAUUGCGCCAACAAAGCCUGGACCUUUACUAUGUAUUGUUGCAUGUGCUCCUCUUUGGUUUCGAAGAUCUCGUAGACCUGAUUUACCACCAGUUGUGAGUCGCAUUUGAUUUCGAUGACCUCAGAGUCAAGUCCACGGUCCAAUUCGAGCCCAACAAUCAAAGUUUUAUACUUGCUUCAUUGUUAGUUAAAGGGAUCAUUCUGAUGGCUUGCCUUAGGGUUUCCCCCGAAGGCAUGAUUAAAACUAUUCCGAGCUCGGACCCUUUUGCGUUGGAAGCUCCGUCUGUAAAUAAGGUCCUAACCCCCGAUGUCAAUUCCGACACCAUUACUGCCUUCUUGGUUGCCAAAGGCAAUAAUCCCAGACUGAAAUCGGCCAUGAAGUCAGCCAAGACUUGCGACUUAAUUGUAGUCCUUAGUUUAUAUUCUAUGUUGAAUUCACUCAUUUGACGGCCCAUUUGGCCAAUCUACCCGAGAGCUCGAGUUUAUGAAGGAUUCUCCAAAAAAGGAAAGUACAUCAUGUCUAUCGGGUGGCAUUGGAAGUAGGGCCUCAGCUUCCGAGCGACAACUACGAGAGCUAAGGCCAGUUUCUCACUCAUAAUGUGGGUAGCUACUCUCAUUAAAAUUUUACUAACAUAAUAAAUGGGAGAUUACGUACCUUCGUCCUCUCGGACAAAAACCGCACCUACCGUAACUUCCGAGACCGCAAGUUAAACUAGCAACAUUUCAUCGUCUUUUAGUUUUGAAAGCAAUUGAGGGAAUACUUCUUCAAAUCCCUCAAAGCCUGCUAGCACUCCGGGGUGAAUUCGAAAUUAUUUUUCUUUUUGAGCAGUGCAAAGAAGCGAUGACAUUUUUUUGAUGACCGAAAAAUGAACCUGCUCAAAGCUUCCAAUCUCCCCGUGAACCUUUGGACUUCCUUCACAUUUGACAGUUGGUCCGGGAUGUCUUCUAUGGCCCUGAUCUUAUUGGGGUUUACCUCAAUCCCCCUUUGUGAUAACAAAAAUCCCAGAAACUUACCAUAGCUAACCAUGGACGCGUAUUUCUGGGAUUAAGUUUUAUAUUAUGCUUCCUCAGGAUGUCGAAAGUUUCUUGCGGAUGUUUAAGGUGAUCGCCUGCAUUCAAAGACUUAAUGAGCAUAUCGUCCAUAUAAACUUCCAUAGUUUUUCCUAUUUGAUUUUCAAGCAUUAUGUUCACGAGCCGUUGAUAAGUGGCUCCGACAUUUUUCAACCCGAAGGGCAUCGCAUUGUAACAAUAUGUAUCGAAAUUCAUUAUAAAUGAAGUCUUCUACUGAUCUUCCGGGUUCAUUUUAAUUUGGUUGUACCCGAAAUAAGCAUCAAGGAAACUCAUUAACUCUUGCCCGUACGUGGCAUUAAUCAUUGAUCGAUGUUUGGAAGUGGGAAUGAGUCUUGCGGGUACGCCUUAUUAAGGUCUUUAUAAUCUACACACAUGCAAAAUUUAUUGUUCCUCUUAGGAACUACUACUACAUUGGCUAACCAGUCUGGAUAUCUUACCUCUAGGAUCAAACUGAUAUUAAGUAAGAGGGUUACCUCUUCUUUGACGAAUCUAUUCCUCGCUUCGGCAAUAUGGUGUUUCUUUUGUCUUACCGGAGAUACAUUGGGAUCCAAGCUUAACCUGUGAGUUUAGCUUGCUCCAAUGCUUUCCAUUGUAUGAUAUUAGCCGAACUUCCUAGAUCCACUAGAACACGUUUAAUCUUAAAAUCUAGCACAUUUAAAGAAAUUACCAGUGCAUCGUUGUGUAGUAGUAGCAAUCCGUCUGCAUCCUUCUCGGUAAAAGUGAUAUCAUCUUCCCCGGAGCCUUUUACUAUGAGUUAUUGAUACUUUCGUCUUCUCUGCUGCCGAAAAGGCGACCCUGUUAAUCUCAUUCCCUCCAAAGAUCAUGUUGAUCAUUUGGCAUGAGAGAUCUUUUCCUGCUUUUGAGGGUUCUGCGUUGUCCCGGUUACAACCAUAAUUGUUCUUAUCUCGAUCACUUAAGAAUUCUUUGAGGUGACCAAUCUUCAAUAAUGUUGCCACUUCUUUCCGGAGGUGUCGGCAGUCCCCUGUCUGGUGGCCAUUCAUCCUAUGGUAUUCACACCAUAAGUUAGGAUCCCUCUAGCUGAGAUCAGAUCUCAUUGGUCUCAGGAACCAUGCCUCAUUGAUGUUUAUCAUGGCUGACACGAAUUCCACUAUACUGAUGGUUGAAGUUAUAUUCCGAUAACUUGGGGUAAGAAGGGUCCUAUGACCCUAUCAUUUCGUUAUCCUGUAGUGAUCUAUUGUUCCGACCGCGAUUAGUCCUCUUGUCAAUGGAGAACUUGUCCACUAUCCGAAAGCCUCUCCCACGGCCUUCGGUCCGUUUGUUGGACAAAAACCAACCCCUCAAAUUUUGUCUGUCCAUGUCGUAAUCAUCCUUUAAUUUUUCUUUGUUCUUCUCUCGUCCUUUGGUCGAUGAUGGAAAACCAACCUGAUCAUUUUCAAUCCUUAUUUUUGAUUCGUACCGGUUGUGGACAUCUGCCCAGGUCGUUGCUUGAAACUCAAGCAUGUUUUCUUUCAGUUUAUGGGAAGUGUCUGAACUUUUCGGAUUCAAUCCCUUGGUGAAUGUUUUAGUUAGCCAUUCAUCCAGGACAGCUGGGAGCAAUAUUCUCUCUUUCUGGAACCGGGUAACGAACUCUCAUUGUAACUCGAACUCUCCUUGUGCAAUCCUGAAUAUGUCAGUUUUUCGCGCAUGCAUUUUUGUCCCCGGCAUAAGCCUUAAUGAAAGAGUCUGUGAGAAUUUCAAAGGAUUCUAUGGAAUGCUCGGGUAACAAUGAAUACCACGUCAAGGCCCCCCUCGUGAGAGUUUCUCCAAAUUUCUUUAGCAACACAGAAUCAAUUUCAUGAGGAGCGAAAUCAUUUUCCUUCAUUGCCAUUGUGUAGGUGGUAAUAUGCUCCUGAGGGUCUAAAGUUCCGUCAUACUUUGGCGCUUCAGGUAUUUUGAUCCGGUUCAGAACUAAUUUUGGUACCGCACUUGGCUUGUGUGUCAAUUGAGUAUACUUCUUUGAGUCCGGACCUUUCAGCACUGGUGGCGCGUCUAGGAUUUUGUCCAUGCAGGCGUUCACUUCCCUCAUAAAGCAUAAAAGUUCAUUCUUGAAAGGAUUGUUCUCGUUAUUCAGGCCGGAUCCGCUCCCCCCACCCCCCAUCGGAGCCAACUUCACCCCUAAGAGUGUUUUGUCAACCCUCUGCGUUGUCUGGUUUGCAGGAACAUCAAAAGGAAUUAGAUCUCAUCUGUUUGCAUUAUUCGAAGCCCCCGACAGCGCCUGCUUCAACUCUGUCAUAACCUUAUGUUGUGUGAGGUGGCCUAGAAUGACCGCCUGUUGAUCUUACAAGACCCUUACCGUGUCAAUGACAUGUCCCUCAUCAGUACUUGUCUCUCGAACCUGUCGAGGAUAUUGCCUUUCAUUCACCGAUAUGUUUCCAUUCCCAUCAUUGUGGGUGUCACUGAUUGAAUCCUCAAAAUGAGGUUGAUCCCCUCGAAUUUUGGGAUUGUGCGUGUUGUUAAUAGUAUUAUCUGCCAUUUCUUAUAAUUUUUCUAAGACAAAAUAAUCAGAACACAUUAGUAAAAAAGGCAAGGAUCAAUUUAAUUGCAUGGCUGUCUAAGCCCCACGGUGGGUGCUAAACUGUUUAUCCGUAAAAUGGUACAGUUAAAUUUAUACGUAAUUUCUAAACAAGUGAAUUAAUUUGAUCCUGAAAUAAUAAAAUAAUUGAAGAAUUAUGCAAUACUUAGCCUUAAGAUGUAGACGAAAUAGCAGAAGCAACAGUUCCAGAAGGGUUUUCGGGCACAAUAACAAUAAAAUCAAAAAGUAAGAAAAGAAGAUUGUAUUAAGCUUUGUAUUAAAUAUAGUGUAAGUUUGCUAGAAAAUUCGUGUCCUUUACAAUGAUACUGAUCUCACUAUUUACUUCUAUGUCUAGGAAAGGAGUACCUAGAAUGGUGCCCUUCUUUAAUAUCAAUUAUGAGGGUCAUUAAUAAAGAAGUAACGGUGAGCAUAAAUGUCAAAUUACCUAUAACGGGUAAUCGCUCUUAAUACCGGAGUAUAUUCUUUAUUAAAUACUACCGGGCGCAGAGCAUUCAUCACAUCUUUAUGAGUGUUAUUCUUUUCAUGACAAGCGGAAUAGUUGCCUUCAGUUUUCGGUCUUCGGCCAUCCCCCGUCUUGGGUUCCACGUGUCCCUUUUUUGGACAGCCACGUGUCAUAUCAUAGUUUAUCCUAUAGAACUAUGAAAUAGUAUUAAUUUUUGAACAAAAUCACUAGCAUAAAUAUGUAAGAUCUGUUGUUGUGACACCCCAGGUAAAUCUCACAUCGACAAAAUACGGGAGAAAUAUUGGAUAUUUAAGUAACAAGCCUUAAACUCUAGUGAUAUGUUUUAAAGUCAUGGGAGUCUAGGUCCAAAGCGGACAAUAUCACUAGUGGGUUGGGAUGUUACCUGUUGCAUCAGAGCCACUUUACAUGCAACGACAUCUCAGGCGCAUUCUACAUCGUCAAAAUACGGGAGAGAUGCUGGAUCUAUAAGUAAAUAAGCCUUAGACCCUAGUGACGCAUUUUAAAGUUGUGCGAGGGACAAAGCGAAUAGUAUCAUUAGUGGGUUCGGUUGUUACAAUACUGAUCUGUUUCUAUUUCAAAAAGUUAUUCAUCUCUCUUUUUCUUAAGAUCUCUGUUCUAAAUUGAGUUGAUUUCAUUUUUGAACUCGGUACCUAACUACAAAAGUAUUGCUCACUCGAAGAAUUGUCACAAACCUAUAUUGUAUACAGAGUUGCUGAAAGUCCAAGUCUUCCAAGUGUGAGAAGAGUUAGGCUGAAAAUUGUAAUUCUAGAUUGAGCCAAUUUAUUAAGCCAUAACACAAUAGCUAAAGAUUAACAAAAUUAAUCAACCAUAGCAUGUAAUUAAUUAAAGAGGCUACUUAAUUAGAACACUUAUAAAAGAUAAAAUUGUUUGUAUAACUGUAAGUAAGAGGAGUAUGAUUGCUGCCACAGUUGAAACUCCAGCCCAAGGACUAUGAAAAUAAUUGUGCCUCAAAUUUGCCUUCAUUCUGUUCCAUGGUUUUUGACAAUGUUGAACUACUUUUCUGCAUUCUUCUUUGUAAUAGAAAUCAGAUGAAAUAGAGACCCCUUUCCCAAUUUUAUUAAAUAAGUUAGCCACUUCUUUGUCCUCUCCUAUCCUGUUCCUAAUAACUCCUUUUAAGCGAAGCAAAUUCACAUCUUUUUCUGAGUCGAUAAGAUGAUCCAUGAAAACUGCAUAAUCACUGAAAUAUCUAGAAUGUUCAUUAGGUGACUGUUGCUCGUAAGCUAUGAGAUUUCUCAAGAUAGUCUCAGUAUCAUCAACGACUUCGAAACAAGGAAUUUUCAUCAAUCCAUUCUCGAAUUUAAUGUCAAAUAAACUUGUGCAAUCUUCAAAGUUGUCUUCCUCCAAAUAAGUAUAAACAGUUCCAACCUUUGUAAAACUAACUCCAGCUUCACAAAGCUCUGUUGCAUUUGGCAUAAUGUCAAUCCAUAUUAAGCUUUUCCCACAAUGUUCGAUUUCAAUGCUAGGAUUAUUCAUAUCUGAAGGGUGGCAAGACAUGUGUACUAAUUGAAGUAUAUGUUUGAUAUUUUUGGCAUUACCUUCAUUCUCAACAAAGGAUGCAGGAGUAAUCUUUGGUAGGGAAGGAAGAAAGGCACACUUCACCAUUAUUAUGAAUGAUGUUUGAUCAAUAUCCAUUGUCAUGUCAUGAAGUUUGGCGAGGACAAAGAAAGGAAGUUGGUUUUCUAGCAACAACAAAUCUCGACGUACUUGAUUAUCUAAGCAACCUCCACUGAUAAUUAUGUCUUCUCCUGUUGGAAUUAUUCCACAACACUCUCGAAUAUACUCAACCACAAAACAACCAUCAAGCAAUAACAUCAGCAAAAAUUCACCAAUAUUAUCAUUAUAAAAGUCAUGUAUAUUAUCAUAACACUUACGCGCUUCAUCUUUCAGUUCUUCCAUUUCUCUGAUAUAACUUUCCACAUCAAUCCCUUCUUUCCUUCGGAGAAACCGUUGUAGGUACAUCAGUUUAUACUUCUCAAUCGACCGAAGUUCAGUAUUGUGUUUAUGGUAAGGGCCAAUGGUGAUCAACAUUGGCUUAUAAGCAUUUGGAUUUGAUUCACUUAACCCUGCACUUACUUUGAAUAUGGUAGUUGAUUUAAUAGACGGAUUGUUGAAAUCCUUAAAAUUUCUAUCAUAUAUUUGCUUUGCAGAUUUAAUUGCUUGCAACCUUGAUUGAUCUUGACCAUUUGUUUCCUCUAUGUCGAUUAAAUAAUCCACUUUCCUCCCUUCUUCAAUCUGUAAUUAAUGAAAAAGAAUAAUAAAAAAAAUUAAGUAUUACUUAGCUUAUAAAUGAUAGCAUAAAAGUGAAGGACACAACAUAUAUAACUUCUUUCCUUAAAAGUCUUUUAUGAUAUUCUUCCCCAGAAUUUAUAUCACCUUGCUUCAAAAUUAGGAUAAAUUGAUUUUUCUUUUAUUGAAAAGAUAGAAUAUCACCGUGUGGACAUAACAUUACAUUAAGUUACGAAUAUAACCCUUGAAGAAUUGACCACUAUUCUAAAUAUAGUAAGACAAAGAACUGUUGUUCAGUGGAUGUGCGGAUGCAGGAUUUGAACUUUUUGGAUUCAAAUUAAGAAUUCUACGACAUCGCGUCUAAUUUACUGGGUUCAAAUUCUCUUUUUGCACUUAUUUAGCUGGAUUUUUAACAUAUAUAUAUACAGGGCCUAAGUCGAAGUUACUGGGUCCAAAUAAACCAUAAAUUCUUCAUUGGCUCCGCCCCAUAAAAAUAGUACGGUAUAGCCAGUUUUUGGACUGGUCAUUCAAAAAUAGUCAGCGUUUACCAAGUCAAUAAAAAAUAGCCAUUAUUUUGCUGCAAUAGAGUCAGAGACCGGUCCAGCAUAAUAUACUGGAAUUUGGUGCACCUGUGUAUGAACUCCAGCAUAUUAUGCUGGACCGGUAUACUUUGCUGGCUCCAGUAUAAUAUAUUGGAGACUGGAGCACCGGUGCUCCAAACUCCAGUAUAUUAUGUUGGACCGGUAUACUUGCCGGAACUCCAGCAUUAUGUACUGGCGUAUUUUCCGGGUUUUGAACAGUAUUUUCGCUCAGAUUUAUCUUUACAUGAAAAGUGGCUAAAUUUCGAUUACUUUUGAAACUGGACUAUUUUUAAACGACCAGUUGUAAAUCUGGCUAUUUUUGAAUUUCUUCCCUCCGCCCCGGCCAGUCAGACCAUUGACUUAAAAUUUUAAGAGAGUAAGUUGACCUGAUACAAAUAUUUAUUUGGGAGUCAGGUACAUCUCUCAUGAAUUAUUACAAGUUUUUUCGUUUUAAUUAAUGCAAACUAUGUAAUUAUACUGAAUGACCUUAGUAAAACAUCUUAUGACCUUAGUAAACAGAAUUAAAGAAGUAUAGCUUGUUUUUGCGUGUGAGAGAGAGAGUGUGUGUACCUCAUUGUCUGUAGCUUCAUUUACAGAAGUUUGAUAAAGAAGUGGAAUUUGAUGAUCCAUUUGUGUAAUCUCAAUAUGAUGUGACAUUCUUCUAAUUAAUUCGAUAACUUUCUUAAAACUGUAAUUUCAACAAGAGAGAGAUGAGUUAAGAAAUGGAAACACAAGAGAAAUAUGUUAUAGAGUGAUAAAUUGAUAGUGACGAGUCAUAUAGCCGACUCCAAUUAUCUUGAGUUUACAUGUAGGUAAUAGUAGUUAUUCCACUAAAAACUAAUUUUGAAACAGAAAAGUAAGAGUAUAGCAAGAUAAACAAACUAAGAGAGUAAAUCGCUACGAAUAAUAAUUUCCUCAAAGAUAUAAUUUUGUAGUCUUGAGGUAAUAAGGAAUAGAAAGGAAAAAUAGGUAGCAAAGAAUGUAAUUAAUUUAUUGUGCAAAUAUAGAAUGAGAAAUGCAGAAGUACUUGCCUCUUUCUUCGUCUUGCAUGCGUUGUCCUGAAUUAGGACGAGAAGGAGAAAGCAGAUUUAUAAGAGGAGUGCGAAUAACAAUGGAUUUUUUAAAGUCUUCUUUUUAUUGUAUGCAGACAGUCGAAAGUCUUCUCCUCGGCAUAGGCG